rnacentral:rRNA from 1 species
GGAUUAGAUACCCUGGUAGUCCACGCCGUAAACGAUGUGCGCUAGCCGUCGGGCAGCAUGCUGUUCGGUGGCGCAGCUAACGCAUUAAGCGCACCGCCUGGGGAGUACGGCCGCAAGGUUAAAACUCAAAGGAAUUGACGGGGGCCCGCACAAGCGGUGGAGCAUGUGGUUUAAUUCGAAACAACGCGAAGAACCUUACCCAGGUUUGACAUACAUGGAUGCAAUUUGGGGAUAACCCGAAACGCUGCUCUUCGGAGUGAAACAUGUACAGGUGUUGCAUGGCUGUCGUCAGCUCGUGCCG